UGAAUGAUUUAUGGUUUGUAUUUUCUCAUGGUGAACCCUCAAUCUUUUUUGAAAUUCGGACUCGGAUUGUUAGUCUACCAAAAUAAGUUAUGUUGUUCUGAAUUUUGUAGAUCCGAUCAUAAAAUUGAAGGUAUGUUGUUUUAGUUUGUUGUUUAUCUACUGUGCAUCUUUAAUCUAAGCGAUUGAACAUUUAUAUUUUUUUUGCAAACAAUAUCAAGAUCAGAGGUUUUGUUAUCAUCAUCUACAUUCUCUGAUUUAUGUAGUGUCUAUGAACGUUAAUCAUGUAUUGGACAUUUAUCAAACUCAUGUAUUGGACAUUUAUCAAACUUACUGAUUUUUGUUUAUUUUGAUUUUCAUGUGAAUCCCUAAAUCUUGGAUAACAAUCGGACUCCGAUCAUUCAACAAGCAACAGAGGAAAUACCGUAUGAUUUUGCAAGCUUAUUGUGGGAAGGAAAAGUUCCAUAUGGUCAAUGUCUUGAACUUAUUGAUGAUGACUUAUGCAACUGCAUGAGUCUGAAUCUUUUUCGAACACAAGAGAAUUGAUGGAGUGAUAUAAGAAGGUUUCUUUGUUAAUUGAUUAUUCUCUUCCGCUUACAGGGGAUAGCGCUAAGAAUAAGUGCUUUGAUGAACUAAUAGGUGUUUGAAUUUUGUGUUUACUUUGCUCUGCAUAGGGCUCCUUCAGUUUUUUGUAUUCUUUUACUUCGCUCAGUAAUUAUUCUAUUUUCAAGAUAAGAAUACAAGCUGCAUCUGCAUUGGCUACCCUACCAACAAUAGUGGGUGAAUCAGUAAUAACAAAACUA